CACGGGUUUCUCUAUAUGUUGGAUUUCUCAACCGUGAUUGUACGGGGAUGGCUAUUUUAACAGCAUCCAUUUUCUAGUGGUGAGGACUCACAUCAACAGGGGCACGUGUUCCAAGCAGAACACUUCAAUCUGCGACUGCAGGUAACGACAGCAAAGGUUUCAAGCCAACAAACACUGCAGAUGAACAUCGAUACUGCGUCUCUUCCUCUCCCUUCCUUGACGUCACAUGCACGGAGACGGUAACUAAGUGCAGUGCCUGCCACAUUGUAUUGUGCGUCGACACGGACCAUCCGAGCUCCCAUCUGGCAGCUGUCAACGCUAUAACUGUCCGCUAACACGGAGGUUAAUGAAGCCCCCCGUGUUGGCCAAUGCACCCCCAGCGUUCAGACCUCAAGCUGCUUGGAGACUCACGCGCAGCCCUGAAGGAUUGGCUCCAUUACAGUUACCAGCACGGGGCUACAUACACGUCCUGGAUAAAAUGAUGCUGGCACCUGCUACCUGGGCUCAGCUGUUGCUAUGCAGCAGUGGUGCGAGUUAACCAAGGGGAAAUACAGUGGUGCCUUGAGAUAUGAGUAUCUCAAAUACUCUUUCCCCAUUGAAAUGUAUGGAAAUGCAAUUACAGUAAUUUGUCCAAGCCCCGACCUCCCCAUAAAAGGAAUUCAAUUGAAUGGCCAUUGUGCUGCUCCUUCUGACGUGCCCGCCUUGGCCACCUGGGGGCAGUACAAGACAAACGGAAAUACCAUACAAGGAGACGUCACAGCUUUUUAAGCUCCUCAGUACGACACUAAUACUAGUCAUUCUUCACAGAGGAUAAAGAAUAAAUGACCAAGUACGGUUACAUUUUCUGUUUGUUUUCAAAUAUCUGUUGCUUAAAACAUUAUACCACCCCAACAAUAAUGCUAGUUAGCCCAUUCCUAUGG